UGGGCAUGUCGAUAGAAGCACCAAGCAGGCACAACAUGGGUUCAUGUAGCUACAGAGACUUCUGUGGGUUGCUGGAACGAAUCCCGUGUCCACAAGCUUUCAGAAAAAACAAAAUACCCUGCAAGUGUCCCUUCCCAGUUGGAAACUACACACUUCCAACCACUAAGUUUGAAGUCAACCUGUCCACGGUUCCAAGUGGAGACUACCGCAUAAGGAUCAAGAUGGGCUCCUCAACUCAAACUUGCUACGAGAUAUACUUUUCAGUUGACUGAUCCAGGGCCUCAUUUCACAAAUCACUAAGGUGAUCGUAAGUCACUAAUGUAACCUUAGUGCAAUGUUAAAGAAUGGGAGUUAAGGUUAACCUUAGUAAAGCUUCCUUCGUGAAAGGAGCCCCAUUACGACAGCUCGAUCACCCAACAAUUAAUUCAAGCUUUGAUAUCUGAUUCCUCGUAAUAUGUGUUAAAGAAGGCGUGCACGUAGUAAGCGUAAGAUAUAACAAUUGUUGCAGCGUCCUAUGUACUUUCUCUCGUUAGCUUCAAUCUAUAUUGUCAGUGUGACCGAGCCUCUGUCAUGUUAUAAGUCUUGUACUACUGAUGCAAACACCAACGUCCAUUGCAUCACAUUGAAAUUCUUGCACUAUUUGAAUGUCACUCAAUAAAACACGCAGAAUACAAA